AUUUAAAUAGCUUAAUAAGAGCAUAAUAUUGAAGAUAUUAAGGUAGUUUAGAACUUUUAAAUA
rnacentral:tRNA from 1 species